GUAAAAUUUAUUCAAAAGAAGAAAAAAGUUUUCGAACAUAGUUUAAAUAAGUUUCAAUGUAAUGGCAAUCUUUGGGUUCGCGACACGUGUGCUUUAGCAUAUGCUUCUUUCACCGCUGUUAGGGGCGCGAAAUUGCACCCGACUAGAAAAUUUAAUCUCUGGGACAAUUUCAAUGACUUUGUCAUUCCCAGGGUUGACUACGACUACGAGAUCAUUUUCCAGGUCGUGUUUUUUACAGAGAGUUUCCUCUUCGUCGUCCUCGUUAACUUCCCGAAUGAUUCUACCGUCUAAAGAGAUUCUUUUUAGUCGUCUAGUCGAGCCAUUAUCGCUGGUAGUCGCCCCAGCUGCUCUUUCGCCAAUACAUUCCCUCAAGCGAACCGACUGCCGUGGUUAUUUAUAUCUAUAUCAUCAAUAAAAAAAUAAAAAUAA